rnacentral:lncRNA from 1 species
CCGAUCGAGCCACGCGCUGGCGCCGGUGAACAUCGCGGUGGAGGUUUCCAGCAACGCUUCGCUCCAGCCGGAGAUGUCCUGAUAGAACGCGGCGGCGCCAUCGAACAUGGACUCCAUGCUCGUGACCUUGGAGGUAUCCCACGAGCCGAUGGCUUGAUUGAACGCGGCGGCGCCUUCGAACAUGCGAGCCAUGUGCGUGACCUGCGAGGUAUCCCACGAGCCGAUCGGCUGGUUGAACGCGGCGGCGCCAUAGAACAUGUACCUCAUGUUCGUGACCUUGGAGGUAUCCCACGAGCCGAUGGCUUGAUUGAACGCGGCGGCGCCUUGGAACAUGGCACCCAUGUUCGUGACCUUGGAGGUAUCCCACGAGCCGAUGGCUUGAUUGAACGCGGCGGCGCCUUCGAACAUGCGAGCCAUGUGCGUGACCUGCGAGGUAUCCCACGAGCCGAUCGGCUGGUUGAACGCGGCAGCGCCAUAGAACAUGUACUCCAUUCUCGUGACCUUGGAG